UCCGGUUUGACACCGGCAGUCUCGCUAAAGUGCCCGGCAUGACCCGCUGGCAACUAGCGAUAAGGGUUUCGCUCGUUAAAGGACUUAACCUGACACUUCACAGCACGAGCUGACGACAGCCAUGCAGCACCUGUGCUAGCUCCACGGCAAGCCGCGUCAUUCCACUUUCAUGGAACUAAUUCUAGCAUGUCAAACCCGGGUAAGGUUCUUCGCGUUGCUUCGAAUUGAGCCACAUCCUCCACCGCUUGUGUGAGCCCCCGUCAAUUCCUUUGAGUUUUAGCCUUGCGGCCGUACUCCCCAGGCGGCGCACUUAUCGCUUUUGUUUCGGCACGCACAACGUCAGAGUUGUACAAACCUAGUGCGCAUCGUUUACGGCGUGGACUA
rnacentral:misc_RNA from 1 species